GAGCCCGAAGAUGCUUAUUUGGGCUGACCUCCACUGAGGAUCAAUUUGAUGGGGCAUGGAGCGGAUCCUCUUCUCUCAGCCUGCAAAAAUACGCAGGCUCAGAGCAGAGGAGUCUUCAGCUCCAUGUACCCAUAGCCUUAAGCUGGUCAUAAAAAAGUUGCUGAUUCAGCCCUCCAGCACAGGUUGACAGCUUAUUGCCAAUACAUGGGUCACUUUCUGCAGCCUGGCCAAUAAUCAAGCAGGUUUGGAAAUUCCUUAGGGCUACAACCCCUUGGCCUCCAUUAUUAUCUGAUCAUUGGUCAAGGGGUUGAAAUAUUGGACCGUCCUGAUUUGGCCUGGAGUGUUGGUGAUAAAGAUCCACUCAUUUGCUGAAGUCUUACAGUGUAUGUCAAGGAUUAAGGAUGUGAACAAUUUUUUUCUGAGCUGGAACACAUUAUUCUAGUGCUUAACAUAUACACACGUGUGUUUGUGUGUGUGUGUGUGUGUGUAACUGCAUAUAUUUAUGUGACAGAAUGAAGAUCAAGGCUUUUACUCAACAUUUAACCAAAUGACAUGUUAUGCAUUGACUUGCAUUUUUAAACAUGUUUUUAAAUUUGUGUGCAUGUUUUCAAAUUCUUUUAAUAUUUCCUUUAUCUCGUUUCUCUGGCAGUUAUGAACAAGAAAAACGCAGAAAACAGAUGUUUCCUUUUUAGGACGUGAUCAGUGGAAAAAGGGGUUUCAAAAUAGAAGAAAGGGGAAGUGGUUAUGAUACAUUAUCGUACCACAGAAAAUACAGAAUUCCAGAAGCUUUCUUGUUGCUGUGGUCCUACCUACCCUAUCAACUAGGCAAAUGACAGACUAAAAGAUGCAUAGUAAACCUGAAGUGAAAGAUAAAUAAAAAGUAAUAAUUACAAAUAUGCUGCAGCUUGUCAAGGCAACAGUUCUGUUGGUUUCCAGGUGCUAGAAAGAGGCAGAUGAGAGAGAGCGCAAAAACUAUAAAAGUAAAAAAGAAGACCAAUUGAAAAGUUGCUAAUAACUGGAAAAUUGAUAACGUACUAAAGGUUAUAUUAAAGGUGAACUCCCUGAUUAUUGUCAAAAGCUACGCCAAAAAAUAGCCUUUAAUCCAGAAGAAUAGGGAUUGCAGCAUGUGAAACCCAUGGAUGAUGAAGCACUACAUUUAUCAUUGUGCAAUGUACAAAAUGCCUAGCUUGACAUGGUGUUACUUCUAGGGUUUCCCAUGAGAAUGGUACCUACCCCCACCACUGAGUGCGGUGAAUCACAUUAAAAUGUUGUCACUGAUCUAGCUGCACUAGAUUUCGCUAAUCCUGUAGGUGCCUACAAUGAUGCUAGAACUCCUGGGUGAAUGCUGCAUUGUUGGUAGAACAAGGAGUUUGCUCAUUGCACCUGUGUUUGUAAAUUAAAAAUGAAAUUACAAAUGUUUACCACUGGUGGAAAGGUAGUUUCUUAUUUUUUUGGGGGGAGAAAAUUAAUUGUGGAGUUUGAACAAUGGAGUCAUACAAAAACGUACUUAGAAUACUCUAAAUAUUUAGAACACAUAAGGGAAUAUUUAUCAUAGUGUGAAAAUAGUUCUCCAGAGGGGGACUUCACAGUUCAUUGUUUAAUUAUAUACCGGUAGACUUUGAAUUGCACAUUUAUUAAAGGGUGAAAAUAGAGUUCACCCUUUAAUAAAUAUGCCCAAAAGUGUUUGGAGACUAGUGUACCUGCUCCUACUGCAACCAUAGUAGUAGUAUUUUAAUACAGAGGAAAGUUACUCAAGCUUAGCUUACCAUGCAUAACAUAUCUGGAGCUUAGUAUGCUGGCAUCACUCACAAGUAUUGUUCAGACUUGAUACAUAUUAGUUUAGGAUGUGGCUAGAUGCCUACCAAACUGGUUUUUUAAUUUUAUGUGGAGAAUUCUACUCUUAGAGACUGAUGCUUUUGACUUAAGAAAAACAGCUUUUGUAGAAAGUUUUCCACUUCUUCCUUCAUUAAACAUUUGUCAAAAUAA